rnacentral:rRNA from 1 species
UACGUAGGGUGCAAGCGUUAAUCGGAAUACUGGGCGUAAAGCGUGCGCAGGCGGUUGUGCAAGACAGAUGUGAAAUCCCCGGGCUUAACCUGGGAACUGCAUUUGUGACUGCACGGCUAGAGUACGGUAGAGGGGGAUGGAAUUCCGCGUGUAGCAGUGAAAUGCGUAGAUAUGCGGAGGAACACCGAUGGCGAAGGCAGUCCCCCUGGACCUGUACUGACGCUCAUGCACGAAAGCGUGGGGAGCAAACAGG